GACGAACGCUGGCGGCGUGCCUAAUACAUGCAAGUAGAACGCACAGUUUAUACCGUAGCUUGCUACACCAUAAACUGUGAGUUGCGAACGGGUGAGUAACGCGUAGGUAACCUGCCUGGUAGCGGGGGAUAACUAUUGGAAACGAUAGCUAAUACCGCAUAAUAUUAAUUAUUGCAUGAUAAUUGAUUGAAAGAUGCAAUUGCAUCACUACCAGAUGGACCUGCGUUGUAUUAGCUAGUAGGUGAGGUAACGGCUCACCUAGGCGACGAUACAUAGCCGACCUGGGAGGUGGAUCGGCCACCCUGGAACUGGAACACGCCCCAGACUCCUACGGAAGGCGCAAGUAGGGAAUCUUCGGCAAUGAACGAAAGUCUGACCGGGCACCGCCGCUGGGGUGAGGAAGGUUUUCGAAUCGUAAAGCCCGUUUUUAAGGGAGGAACGGGUGGGGGGGUGAAAGGUCCCCCCGGUGACGGUAUUUUACAGAAAGGGACGGCUAACUACGUG
rnacentral:rRNA from 1 species